rnacentral:rRNA from 1 species
ACGGAGGGUGCAAACGUUGCUCGGAAUCAUUGGGCGUAAAGCGCUCGUAGGCGGCCUGACAAGUCAGGUGUGAAAGCCCUCGGCUUAACCGAGGAAGUGCACUUGAAACUAUUGGGCUAGAGUACUGAAGAGGGUCUCGGAAUUCCCGGUGUAGAGGUGAGAUUCGUAGAUAUCGGGAGGAACACCAGUGGCGAAGGCGGAGACCUGGGCAGAUACUGACGCUGAGGAGCGAAAGCGUGGGGAGCAAACAGGA